AUAAGAGGUCCAGCCUGCCCAGUGACUCUGUUCAACGGCCGCGGUAUCCUAACCGUGCGAAGGUAGCGUAAUCACUUGUUCUUUAAAUGUGGACUAGUAUGAAUGGCACCACGAAGGUUAUACUGUCUCCUUUUUUUAAUCAGUGAAACUAAUCUCCUCGUGAAGAAGCGAGGAUAAAAAUAUAAGACGAGAAGACCCUAUGGAGCUUUAAACAACACGGCACUCAUUACAUAAUAUAAAAAUUCCUGAACACUUGUUUUUAAUGAUAUAACCGUAAGUUUUUGGUUGGGGUGACCACGGGGCAUAACAAAACCCCCAUGUUGAGUAAUAUUUUAAGCCAUGAACUACACAUCUAAGCAUCAAAAUUUUGACAUCCAUUGACCCAAUAAAUUUGAACAACGAACCAAGUUACCCUAGGGAUAACAGCGCAAUCCACUUCAAGAGCUCCUAUCGACAAGUGGGU
rnacentral:rRNA from 1 species